ensembl:lncRNA
GAGGGAGAGACUGCGCGCCCGCCGAGCGCCAACUCCAUCAGAAGGCGUGCCUGCGAGAGGAGCUGUGAACUCGAGAGAUGAACCAAGCGUACUGCUGCAAGACCAUGAAGAAGAUUGUGAGAAGGUGCCCUGGUUGUGCUCCAUGAGGUACCAGUGGAUGGGGCCAGAACUGAGGAUCAACUUCCAGGACAACUGCUUUCGUCCUAUGUCCGAUGCCUCGGGGUCCCUCGUUCUCUCUUUCACUCUUCCACUCUUAAACAGUGAUGCCUGACUCCCCGGUGCUUUUCCGUGUGGCCUGGACUUCCCACAGCAUGGCAGUAUCAGGUUGCUUACAUAUCUGACAGUGGUUUCUUGAUGUACGAGUAACAGGGAAUAGAAGCUGUAAGGCCAGUGAAAGUGUCCGCUUCAACUAGCACAUGAUCAUUUUGGUCGUAUUCCACUGAGCAGAGCAAUCGCAAAGUCCACCCAGAUACAAGGGAACAGAGAAGUGGAAUUUACUAUCUGUGGCAAAGUGACAUAGUAGCAUCGCAGAGCAACAUGUGCGACUGGAGAUGUUGUGAAGGCCAUCUCUAAAAAGCAUGAUCUCUCAUCUUUGAAAUUGAAAUGAAUGCUUCUUUGAAGGUUCUUUUGUGUUUUAAAACCAAGGAAUAAAGAAGAGAAUAUCAGUGGUACAAUU